ensembl:lncRNA
UCGUCUGUUGCCAGUUCGUCUUUCAGCUGAGGGGUAAGGUAGCAAUCCGACACCGAGCACAAUUGUCAAGGUUAUCACCCAUUCCAUCACUGUUCUCUGUGGGUGCAGAGCAGAAACAGUGUCUGCAGGACAGUGCACCUUGAUAGUACUACACUACACAACACUCACAUAAUUAUUUAGUCUAGUCAUGUAACAAGUAGCACAAGUUGUUAUGUCAGAAUGUGACGCCUUAUAUUUUGGACGAAGGCAAACGUAUGAUUGCUGCCACCAUUCCCCAAACACCCAGUACAAAAAAGGAGUAACAUUUUACCUAAAACUCAAUGGAUGACAAAUUAAAAUGCUCAACUUUUACUAUAGGUUGAUUAACCAAUGUGUUGAAACCUAUGCCACCCAAGACAUAGCAACUGUAUUAUGCAUUCAUUUAUGUAGUAAAAAUCUCCCCAAUUUGGUCAUUUCAUGAGUUAAAGCUAAUGUGUCACCUAAAAGAAGCGCAUAUCAGUUUUUGUCAUAUGAUGAAGACAACAUUUCUUCAACUUGUUCUGCAAAUCCCAUCUCCAACAUUUGGUCCACUUCAUCCAGAACAACGUGUCGAGAGGUCGAGUUUUUUGUUAUGGAGGUGGUCUUUGAUUGGCUCAUAUUUGGUAAUUACGAGAAGCUUUAUAUGAGAUAUAAAGAGUAAAUUAUAAAUUUCUUAUGUAUUUAUCUAUUUAGCACCAGAGGUGCCGACCAGGAUAUCAAUACCACUACGGAUAGCAUCGAUCUGUGGCUUGUAUGAGCUGCCUCCAUAGAAACGGGCUAACCCUCGGGCAUGCGGAUGGAACGCGCCUUCAUUUCCCUGAAACUCUCUCCUGCGGAGAGAAACUACGAUGUGGGGAACCAGGAGCUACUGGCGGUCAAGGUGGCUCUGGAGGAGUGGCAUCAUUGGCUGGACAGGGAAGAACACCCUUUCGUGCUCUGGACGGAUCAUAAGAUCCGGACUGCCAAACGGCUCAGCUCCAGACAGGCCAGGUCUCCGACCUACAUUUUACCUCCAUCCUGUGUGGUGGGUGCGGUUACCUGGGGCAUUGAGGAGAAGGUCAUCCAUUGGGCUCACACCUCCUUUGUCUCUUGCCAUCCCGGAGUACGGCGGACGAUCUUCGUUAUCAGACAACGCUUCUGGUGGCCAUCCAUGGAAAAGGAGGUUGGGGAGUACGUGGCCGCCUGUCCUGUUUGUGCCUGGAACAAGUUCUCCCGAUGCCCACCUCCUGGUCUCCUGCGCCCGCAGAGAGAAGUGGGCUGAUCGCCGGCGCAUCUCGGGUCCCACCUAUCAACCCGGGCAGAGGGUUUGGCUUUCCACCAGGGACCUCCCGCAAGCUGGUGCCCCGGUUUGUGGGUCCUUUUCACAUUUCCAAGGCAUUCAAUCCAGUGGCAGUACGGCUCAGCUUCCCCAGAUCCCUGAGGGUUCACCCCAGUUUCCAUGUGGCGCGAGUCAAGCCUCUUAUGGAGAGUCCUCUCUCCCGUUGAUCACCCGUUUAUCAAACCUGUUUCUUGCAAGUAAAGAUUGGUGUAUCAGAUUUUCCCCCGUGUCUGAGUCGUGCUUUUGAGUCCUAUUCUUUGGGGUUACCACCCGGCGUUACAGGUGUUGGUUUUUAUGGUUGUCAUUAUUGGGAUGUUGCUAUGAUUAUUAGUAUUACAGCCACAUUUCACUUAAAGUUAUUUGAAAUAAUGAAUGUCAUUUCGAAGUCAUCAAACACCAAUCAUCCUGUCAAUACUUAUGUUUGACCUUGUAAAAGCAUGAGAUUGAAAAUCUUAAGUAUAAUGAGCAUUAUCACAAUAAGCAAGCAAUUAGUGACUAUUUGUCAAUUAGUCUGACCUGUUACCAUUGAGAUUUUAAUUUUUCUUUCUUUGCAUGGUUUUCUCUUGUUCCUCCCAACAAAAGUGUUGGAAUCCUGAAUAUGCAGAAGGAAAAUAAACAAAGCUGGCCCCUCCAGGCAUCUAAAAAAGAAACAUUGAACUUCUCUAAUUAAACUGAACUUCCCUUCUGAACAGCGAGCAAGGCUGUGGGAACAUAAUAUUGCCUCCUCGGGUCCUCUCUCAGCCUGAUAUCGGUCUCCUGCAUCAGCUACUCUUCUGGAACA